AAAAAUGUAAAAACAUUAAACACAUAAUAAUGUAAAAAAUAAAAACAAAUAAAAAUAUUAAAGUUAUAAAAUAACAAACUAAGCAGUAAAAAUAAUAAUAAAAACUGUAAAACCAACACAUAAUAAUGAAAUAAUGAAGAUAAGUAAAUACAUUUAGAAAAAUAAAAACUGUAAACAAUAAACAUAUAUAAAAGAAUAUAAUUACAUUUAUUAGAAAUAAAAAAACAGUAAACAUAAUAAAAAAAUAGUAACCACACUUAAUAAAAAAAAAUUCUAAAUAGAAAAAAAUAUUAAAAACUUAAGUGAAGGAUGAAGGCACUGGAUAAGAAGAAUAAGAACAAACUGGAGAACAAGAAGAAGAAAGUUUGUGAUGAACAGAACCAACCAAACCAAAGAACCACUGCUCCAAGAUGCAAUCUGAAAAAAAAAACAGAAUCAAUUCAACACUUUUCUCACACAGGGAGAACCCCUUCUACUCUACCUUUACAAGGCAUAGAAUCAAUUCUCGUUUUACCUUUAAAAGCCACAAAAUCAAUUCUCCUCCUACCUUUAAAAGUCACAAUCAAUUCUCUCCUACCUUUAAAAGCCACAUAAUCGAUUCUGCACUAUUUGGAAAAAUCGAAAAUCGAUUCUGUGCCAUUUGGAAAAAUCGAAAAAUCGAUUCUGCACCAUUUUGAAAAAUCGAAAAUCGAUUCUGCACCAUUUUGAAAAAUCGAAAAUCGACUCUGCACCAAUUUACAAGGAUAGGAAAAUCGAUUCUGCACCAUUUGGAAAAAUCAAAAAUCGAUUCUGCACUAAUUUACAAAAAGACGUAAAUCGAUUCUGCACUUCCAAAAUUCGGAAAGAAGAAGGAAACUGCUGCACCAGGCACUCUAAUAAAGAAACUGAAAACUCACUGAUGCCCACAUUGUUUAAUAUUAGAAUUGAUGGAAGGGUAGCAACGUAAAUGUCUAUUUGU
rnacentral:lncRNA from 1 species